AUAUCAGUGAUGCCAUGUUGCAGUGGUGGAGCAGCGAUAGUGUGUGUGAGAUAACGAACAGUACAGGAGAGAUGCACAUUGAUAUGAGACAUCAUUCAACAGCCAUCAAGGAGUAAAGGCAAGAGGGACAAGUCUGAAGGACGAUACCAUAAGGAAUCAGAGACACUUGAGAAGAGCUGAGCAGAAGCACCAAUCAUCCUGAGUGAAAUGCAAAAGAGGGAACAAUGGUGUACACAGCAUUGUAUACACUUCUCUGGCUUCUAACUGCAUUCGUUACACCACAAGAGUUGGUGACACUAAGUGUGACUCCCAAGAUUACUGCAGAGUGCGGCAAACAGGUUACCAUAAACUGCAACGUGUCCUCAUCACGGCAUGGACUAUCAAUCAAACACAUGAACUGGUCCCAAAACAACAGAUCUUUUUGUUCUGUGGACAAUGAAGGAAAUAUCACACACCACAGGCACACUCUAAGUCACUUCCAUUGUGAGUAUAAACAUGGACAAUUAUCUCUCAUCUUUAAGAGAGUGCAGCCACUGGAGAGCGGAGACUACAGGUGUAAACUGCAAUCCAACCAGGGAGCUAAGCAUCAAUAUACAAUAGUGGAGUUACAAGAGUGUUGUGGAAUCGUUGAGGGUGUUUCGACUAGUGACGGUCCCGCCUGCACCUUCAAAUACGUCUACCCAGACGGAGAUGUGCACUGGUUUCACGGCUCCCAUCAUCUCUCAGAUGGGUCUGUGAGGCAACACACUACUAAACAUUUGGACAAAGGGGGUUGGCUGACUAUCCAUAGCUACCUUGAGCGGAAAAGUUCAACUGUGCCCUACAACUGUUCCUUGAAGAGCACCACAUCUGGUAGAUACAUUACAAGCACUUUGGUUCAGCAUCCAGAAUUAUUGUCAAUAAUCAGAUCACAGGAAACUACACAACUGUUCAGGAAUGGAGUUGGAUCACCAGGACCUAUGUGGACAUUUUUGUGUAUUUCAAUUGUACUUGCUGUCACACUGAAAUAAUGGAUUUGUCAAAGUAAUUCCACAUAAUGGAGUGUAAUAAGAUAUCAGGGUGAAGCGAUGAUUAACAUUGAUAAAGAACAAUGAGGUACUCAGAAUUGUGUAUAUUUUAAAUUUCAGGCAAACAAUGCUCUCAGUUAAGUGAGUCAUCACGCAUGGUACAAAGGUUAAUUAGUCUUGACUGAAGUGAACAAGGAAAUGAAAGACUGCUGAGAGGCUAAUACUCAUUAAACUGUGUCAUAUUUGCUGUGUGAAUGAACGCUUUCUGCAAGAAAAAUAAAAUCUGUCCAUCUUGAACAGAAUGCAGACAUCAAAAGAUUGGCUCUGCCACGAAUUCCCCUCAGACACACAGAAGCCUUUGUGUGAAAUAUCAAAUAACAGGACGCAGGAAAUCUCUGUCAUGAAACAUGUCUGUGUGUUGUUUGUGGAUGGAUGCUGCCCUCUGGUGAACUAUAGUCUGAGAUGUGGCUGUGGCUGCUGUUUAAGGGGCAGAGGACUGUCCACAUGGAGGGCAAAAUGGAUGCAUUUACUUCAACAUACAGAAAUUGAACAGGUUUCAUAGGAACAAUUUUUGGUAGAGGUCGUUCCACCGUUUACAGUAAGGUCUGUGGUUUAUUGGGGCACUUUUUGUGGAAAAAAAUGCUCUGAGCAUCCUGCCUGCAUUUCCAAGCAUGUCAGUUUUAUCGGGGUGGUUGCAGAAAUCUCAGAGAUUAAUAUCUCAAACCUCGGGAAACCAGACCAAAAUUAUCUGCAUGACUACACACCACUAUAGUAGUAAAAUGUACUUCGUCAUAUAUGAACAACAUGCAGUGACAGAUAAUGUCUUGUCAGAGUUGCAAAACUGUAUUCUUUUCAUUUUAAAUCUGACCAGUAGUCAGUGUGAUAAGUCAGAAGACAGAUACAUAUCAUUUCCCUGUUUCCCCAUCUUCAACUAGCCCUCUGUCUUUGCAGGUAUAGCUCAAAGCUGAAGGACAAUCCCAGUUCCAAGGCUAAAACUCUGCCUCUUUAACGCCUCAGUGCCCUCUCUUCAGACAGGACAGUUAAGAACCUUUUCAAGUCAGAAUGACUCUCUGCUAAUGGCGUCACUAAAUCAGUGCCACGCAGGGGCAGGUUGAAAUUUUAGCAAGAUGUUGCUGCAGCUGAGAGCUCACUGAGUGAAUGACUACGAGGUCACCUUGACUAUUGUAGUGGACAAGGAUAGACACCUAUAUACACAAAUAUACACACACCAGUCCAGAUAAGUUGAGAACUUGAAUGUUUGUGUUUGUGGAGUAAACACACAUUCUUUGGUGAUUUUUUGUGAAAUAUUAUUUUUGACUAAUGACAAAAUGAGAUUGCACUGCAAAAGCAAAGCAACUUACAUAAUAUGUCACAAAACUAAAUUAUACUUUCACAGUCAAAAUGGCUGAAUUUUUAAAUUAACUCUUUAAUCAAACAUGGAACCAUCAUUAAUGAGCUUUAGAGGGAGAUGUUUGAUUGAUCUAAUGCAUUAUGACAUAUCAACACUUUAUUACUUAUUGUUUUAUAUUGUGAUGUUCAAAAGAAUUUAGCUUACAUUAAACAUUCCUAGUAAGUAAUUACUGCUGUAAGCUUUCAGAGUGGAGCCUUUAAGAAGAAAUAAAGAAUUUCUUUCUAUGA